rnacentral:rRNA from 1 species
UACGUAGGGUGCAAGCGUUUGUCCGGAAUUAUUGGGCGUAAAGAGCUCGUAGGCGGUUUGUCGCGUCUGCCGUGAAAAUUCGAGGCUCAACCUCGAACUUGCGGUGGGUACGGGCAGACUAGAGUGUGGUAGGGGAGACUGGAAUUCCUGGUGUAGCGAUGAAAUGCGCAGAUAUCAGGAGGAACACCGAUGGCGAAGGCAGGUCUCUGGGCCACUACUGACGCUGAGAAGCGAAAAGCAUGGGGGAGCGAACAGG